CGGCUCCAUCGUACCCACCGCCCCAGGCCUGGGCUCGGGACAGAAAAGGACUAGAGCGAGCACGGAGGGGACAGUUCCUGUAGGCCCUCCCGGGCACACCAGGCCUCUCAAGGUGCUAGAGCAGGUCUCAGCUGAAAUGUCACACCCUCACCAAGGCCUCCCCUGACCGCCACGGCAAAGUCACCCUCACCGCCCCCGCCACCGGUUUCAUUUUCUUCCUGGUAUUUGUCAUACCUGAAAUUCUCUGACUUGUGUGUUCUCAUUUUUACUAUCUGCCAUUUCCUCGAGAAUGGGAACUCCAUGAGCACAGGGACCCUUCUGUCUCGCUCACUGUUGUAUCCCCAGCACACAUAGUAGGUGCUCAAUAAACAUCCUUGGAAUAUUGGACUAAAUGACUACCAGUGGUAACAGGUUCAAUUAGACCUAGCUCCUCUCUCUGAGGAGGUUUAAGGGGUAUCUCAGACAUGUACAAUACAUCAUCUUGAAGGAAUUGCUUGAUAGAUGAGAAUGCUAGCAUCCCAGAUACUGUCUGAUUCCACUUACAUGAGGUACUUAGAGCAGUCAAAUUCAGAGGCAGAAAGUACCAUGGCUGCCAGGCUAGAGGGGAGGAGGGCACAGGGAGGUAGCAUUGAGCGGGUAUCGAGUUUCAGUUUUACAGGUGAAGAGUUAUGGAGAUGAGUGGUGGUGACGGUUGCAUAACACAAUGACUGGAUUUAAUACCACUGAACUGUACACUUAAAAAUGGU